rnacentral:rRNA from 1 species
GACAUUGUCGAUGCCUAACAUCAAUUGGAUGACCCGUGAAAAUGUAAAUAUGCAUGGGAAGUCGAGAAGGUCAAGGAUCGGUGGGUGCAACCCUGUCGUUCCUUGCCCCCACUCGGAUGCUCUAUCGCCCUCCUGCAUGGCGUGCCUGCAUGGGGAUGGCGACAACGAAACCCCGGCGCGAUUGGCGUCAAGGAACACAGCGAUACGAGCGGCGCACCUCGGAGCUUUGUCUCUUGUAGCAAAGUGAUGGGGCGUGCAUCUCGUAGCGUACGUACUAUGUGUAUGACUCUCGGCAACGGAUAUCUCGGCUCUCGCAUCGAUGAAGAACGUAGCGAAAUGCGAUACUUGGUGUGAAUUGCAGAAUCCCGCGAACCAUCGAGUCUUUGAACGCAAGUUGCGCCCGAGGCCAUUCGGUCGAGGGCACGCCUGCCUGGGCGUCACGUCUUAUGUCGCUCCGUGCAUCUUGCUCCCCUUGCUUUCGUGAGGGCGCUGGAAUGCGCGAAUGCGGAGAAUGACCUUCCGUACCCCGUGUGCGGUGGGUUUGAAGUACGGGCUGUCGGAUGGGCCGGACACGGCGAGUGGUGGACGGAUUUCUGCACGCCGGCCGUCGUGCUCGACCCUGGCGGCAUAAGGCCCACCCAAGACCCCUCUCGAGGUGCAUUUCUGCUAUUGCAGCCCCCUUGAACCGCGACCCCAGGUCAGACGAGGCCACCCGCUGAGCU